GAUGAACGCUGGCGGCGUGCCUAAUACAUGCAAGUCGAGCGAACAGACGAGGAGCUUGCUCCUCUGACGUUAGCGGCGGACGGGUGAGUAACACGUGGAUAACCUACCUAUAAGACUGGGAUAACUUCGGGAAACCGGAGCUAAUACCGGAUAAUAUAUUGAACCGCAUGGUUCAAUAGUGAAAGACGGUUUUGCUGUCACUUAUAGAUGGAUCCGCGCCGCAUUAGCUAGUUGGUAAGGUAACGGCUUACCAAGGCAACGAUGCGUAGCCGACCUGAGAGGGUGAUCGGCCACACUGGAACUGAGACACGGUCCAGACUCCUACGGGAGGCAGCAGUAGGGAAUCUGCCGCAAUGGGCGAAAGCCUGACGGAGCAACGCCGCGUGAGUGAUGAAGGUCUUCGGAUCGUAAAACGCUGUUAUUAGGGAAGAACAAAUGUGUAAGUAACUAUGCACGUCUUGACGGUACCUAAUCAGAAAGCCACGGCGAACUACGU
rnacentral:rRNA from 1 species